GUAGGUGGCAAGCGUUGUCCGGAAUUAUUGGGCGUAAAGCGCGCGCAGGCGGUCCUUUAAGUCUGAUGUGAAAGCCCACGGGCUCAACCGUGGAGGGUCAUUGGAAACUGGGGGACUUGAGUACAGAAGAGGAAAGCGGAAUUCCAAGUGUAGCGGUGAAAUGCGUAGAGAUUUGGAGGAACACCAGUGGCGAAGGCGGCUUUCUGGUCUGUAACUGACGCUGAGGCGCGAAAGCGUGGGGAGCAAACAGGAUUAGAUACCCUGGUAGUCCACGCCGUAAACGAUGAGUGCUAAGUGUUAGGGGUUUCCGCCCCUUAGUGCUGCAGCUAACGCAUUAAGCACUCCGCCUGGGGAGUACGGCCGCAAAGGCUGA
rnacentral:rRNA from 1 species